AACAACCGAAACUCUAUAGGACCAGCGGCUUGCAGCAUGACACUAUUGAACGAGGCUUAUAAUGCGCAAAGCGUAUAGUGGAGCAGUCGUCGUUCGUGUGGCGGUGCGCGACCGUAGACGGGGGGGAUCCCGAGAUAAGUCGAUCCUGAUUGGUGCCAAGACAUGUAACACAACCGGCCAGAAAGAAGAAGGGAAAUCUUUAUAGUCGCUCAAGAUGGCGCCCGUGUACGGAGGAGAAGCACAGACAUAUAUAUGUGUUUUCUUUUUGACCGCUUUGUUUUUUUCUUUCUGCUGUCCUAUUUCUUUUGUUCUUUUUCUCCUGUCUUUGCAACUUGCACAGGAUAUAUCUAUGGCCCAGUCUGUUGUUUCCUGUUCCCUUCAUUCCAUUAUUGUUGGCUCCGCCCCAGCACAGGAGCAAUACGCCAAAGCAGAGCGGCAUAACAGAUACGCAACGAAUGGAUAAAAAAGAAAGAAAGAAAAAAACCUGUCCGAUUGAAUGAGGAAAACGCGUCUCACCAGCAGCCAACCUACUAUAUAAGGAACAACACACACACACACACACCAAAACUAUAUACAAUCCGGCAGCUGAUUGCAAUUCCAGUCGUGUCCCGCUCACGGCAUUCUCUCUCCAGGCUAUAUGUACUAUAAAGCAUACAUGUAUCAAGCAGGGGAUAUAUACCUAUGCCAGUCCCUGAUGGUCUUGCCGGAUCGUUAAUGUUGAUGAUUAUUCUUUUUUGUUUGUUGUUUUUGCCUCUUGUGUAGCAGCUGUUGGCCGCGUGUACGCUAGGCAAUUUGACACCUUUUUUUGUUGUUUUUUUUUUAUUAUUUGUUAUAGUUUUUUUUUUGUAGCUUGGAUACGCAUUGCACGGUCCAAUUGAAUCACAGCCGAAUUCAAUCUGUUUUUCUCGCUACGGACCACCAGCUUCUACCCUGUCUACUGUUGACCGAUGAUUCACGAAAGGGACGGAGCUCAUGCGGUAGACCAUUUAAGAAACGAAAAUCGUUCGGACGGCCAUUUUUUCCAAUCAAAGUAGACGAUGAGUUUCCCCGCAGUUGACGUAGACAGAGCGAAAGAAAAAAAAAAAAUGCCCAUGUACACACAAAAGGGGAACGAGAAGGGAAAAAGAAGGGCAGGAUAACUGCUGACGUUUGAAGGAGGAGGUUGGUGUCGUGGCUUACUCAUCAAGUUCCCCUUGCACAAAAACCACCGCGCCUUCAAGUGACGGUGUCUUAUCGAAGACCGACACGCAUUCCUAAACGAGAACAGGCGCCCCAUUAUAUUGGAGGUUUUUUUCUCUUUUGCUCCCUCUGUGGCAUCAGGAGAGUCCCAACCGCUCCUUGUUCUCUCCACUCAUUAUUUUCAGGAUUUUUUUCCUCUCUCUUUUAUUUUUUUUCUCUCUUUUCUUUUAUCUUCUUCUUCUUUUUAAGGAAAAAAACAAGACGGCAUCAUCUACCUCCUUGUCGGCAAAUGCCAGUAAGCCCAAGUCACAAAUCGUAAAAUUAUUUGAAAUUCAAUUCUCUUUUUUUGGUCGCAUUCUGUGACUCGACCGUGCAUGUGUGUUUGGUGAUUGUUUGGAAGAAUAUUGGUUUUUAGUAGGGCCCUACUGAACUUUGAACUUUGACCUAAAACGCUCGCACCGCAUCAACUUGUAUAGCUCCUCCUUAUUCACUGUCAGUGUCUUUUUCCUUCCCUAUAUAGCCGAGUACUACCAGCGUUCUUGUCCUCAGCCACCUCCUGGUCCGCACUGAUAACGGGCCAUGGAAACUGAUAUGUUAAUGGGCGGCCCGAUGAUAAAUAUACACAUCGAUAGGAGAUCUGGUAUGUGUGUGUGUGUGUGUUGUAUAUAUGUGUGUGCCUGUGCGUCUGACGAAUAUAUAUACGUGUGGGUGGAUCAGAAAGAUCCUGGAACAACAACACCAGCAGCUACUGACGACGAAAAACGAGAGAAAAAUAUUUGAAACUAAAAACAAAAAAAUGAAGCUGAUUGCCAGACCGUAGACGAUAAGAAACGAGUUCGUCCUGUCUCCUUUUUUUCCCCUCCAAGUUAAUAUCAUAUUAAUUGUAACUGGAGCACAGCCGCUUGCUGGACGCACAUAAACAGAAACACAGACAGAGUCCUGUCUGUUUUGUUGGCAGUUGACGGUGACGUCAGGCUCUCUAAAAAGUCUAUAUCAUUGGCGCUGGUUGUAACCCUCAACGUGUUUUCGCUUCGCUCUUCAUUUCUCUCUCUACAUCUAAUGUGUAUCAAAACGCACACACACUGUACUGUUUAGGCGACUGACGGACCGAUAUCUCUCACAAGAGUGGGAAAACGACACAUGAAAUAUAUCUCGAAGUAAAUAGGAAAAGAAAUGUGAAAUGCUCCAUGGCCGCAUCGACUUGGCCUCGGACCCGGAUGAUUUACGGAUGUCGACUAUUUCGCCUCCCAAUUUUAUUUUUCAUCAACGGUAAGCACCGAUCUAAGCGAUUGCUGCUUUUCGUGUUGCUCCGAAAAAAAACAGAAAAUUUAAAUUAAAAAAGAAAAGUUCCAGAGACAUUUAGAACAGAAAAGUUUUUUAAUAUGGAACAGCGCUCAGACGCUGAAAAAAAAAAAUUAAAUUACCAAGAGCUUUUUAUUUUUCUUACUUUUACUUGGCAUUUUUCUCGUCUCCCCCUUUUGGUGGUGCGAUAAAGGGAAACGAGCAGGUCAGCGAGACACAUAAACCAGAAUGAAAGUGCGCCGUAAGUUUGCUGAGCUUCAAGAUCACCAAUACUCUUUGGCCAUGUAGGAGGGGGGCUGUUGCUCUAUAUAAUAACAGCCGGGCGCGUCGAGUUAAAAGAGCUGAAGAAGAGGCGCGGGAAGGAGAAAGAGACGAAGGCACAGAACCGUUUAUUGAAACCAGAGCUGGUCGUUGUAGUAGCCAUUUAGAAAUAAGAAAAAAAAAAACCUGCAAGACGAUAAAAAAAAAAUAACAUUGGAGGCCCAAAAAAGCAGAGCUCUGUGGCAGCCAUAUUUCUUUUUCUCUGGAAAGAAGAGAAGAAAAAUUUUAUGAUUAUUUCAGGCCAACUGAGACUCGACGUUUUUCUUUUCCUAAGAUAUAUGUUUGCCUCUUCUCUAUUUUCUCCGUUUAUUUUCAUUUUUUGUUUUUUCCUAUCCAACCUUCUUGUGGGACUAUGCGUCUGUGAAUAACCUCUGACCUGUCCAAAGGUUAUGCUCAGGUCAAUAGGUUUUUCUCUCUUAUGCAGUCACGCUCUGGUUUGGUCGAUCUGGGUUGUAUCGGAAAAAACACGGUGUGCUUGGCCGUCAUCGUCGCCGCCCAGCAGCCGUGGGAGUUGUGUUACGUCUUGCUACUUUGCCAUAAACAUAAACUUUGCUUGUUAUUCAUACAUGUUCGGCGUAUAGAAGACGUGUGUAGUAUGUACGUUUACGGUUUUUUUUUCCAUAUUAUUUAUAAAUUGUUUUUCUUCGUUCUCCAAAGUCGAUCAGGUGUUGGAUUUCAGCCUCCCUAUCCAACCUUACCCAGACGCCAAAACUUUCAAAUUACUUCAAAAGCUCCAUUCAAUUUGUUCUGAGAACAUUUCAACAUUUUACCGCGUCACACAUUCACUACACUUCACGGCUCCGGGACUUUUUGUUUACAUCUCUCAAACUCGAUCUGGCGUGGCCAUAAAAGCCCAUGGUGUUCAUUCUUCCCGACGUAUGGCCCGUCCCUCCCGCUGCCUUCAUCCUUUUAUUGUUAUUUCUUGCUUCGUUAUUCAGCGAGGCAUAAAAUCACGUCGAGCCGUUGGUAGUUAUAUUCAAGAUCUGAAUUUUGAAUCAUUAAUGGUUGCCAGCUACCAUCUAGCGGUGACUUACUCAAACAUUCAGGAGUUAGAAAUGCAUCAGCCGGAAUAUAACUGGACAGUUUUCUGUAACAGUUUUAUGAAAAGAAAUAUAUAUAUAUGUGUCUCCCGAUAAGGCUGUCCAGAUGAUUGAUUAUGACUACCACCGAUAUCGUUUUAUUGUUUUUCUUGAUAUUUUUUCCCAAUAGAUGGCGCGCACUUUAUGGACACUAGUGUCAAGAGUCAUAGAUUAGAUGGUUUAAGUACUCGAUGUUAAACGUCUGUAAAUAAGCCACGUCCCACGUCACUUUUCGCAAGGCAAAUUUUUAUGGGCUUACCAUAGGCUAGCUCAUCCGACCGACCUUCACCAUUCGGAGAUCUGAUGCACUAGAAUGAAAAACGCUCCCUUUCCCAGUCAAACAUCCGCUUGGUGCAGGUCAAUCGGAGGGAGCGAGGUACGGAACUACGGAACGCCAAAUUACCCCCUAAAA